rnacentral:rRNA from 1 species
AGAGUUUGAUCAUGGCUCAGAACGAACGCUGGCGGCAGGCUUAACACAUGCAAGUCGAACGGACCUUCGGNNGGGGGCACGGGUGCGGAACACGUGGAAUAUACCCUUAGGUAAGGAAUAAUGUCUGGAAACGGGCACUAAUACCUUAUAGUGACUUCGGCCAAAGAUUUAUCGCCUAAGGAUUAGCCCGCGUCUGAUUAGAUAGUUGGGAGGAAUGGCUCACCGUCGACGAUCAGUAGGGGGUCUGAGAGGAUCCCCCACACUGGGACUGAGACACGGCCAGACUCCUACGGGAGGAGCAGUGAGGAAUAUUGCACAUGAGGAAACUCUGAUGCAGCCAUGCCGCGGAGUGAAGAAGGCCUUAGGGUUGUAAAGCUCUUUCAAUUGGAAGAUAAUGACGGUAGCAAUAGAAGAAGCUCCGGCUAAAUUCGUGCCAGCAGCCGCGGUAAUACGAAUGGAGCAAGCGUUGUUCGGAAUCACUGGGCUUAAAGCGUGCGCAGGCGGACUUGAAAGUCAGAAGUGAAAUCCCAGAGCUCAACUCUGGAACUGCUUUUGAAACUCCAAGUCUAGAAUUCGAUAGAGGCAAGGGGAAUUCCUAGUGUAGAGGUGAAAUUCGCAGAUAUUAGGAGGAACACCAGUGCGUAGGCCNCUUGCUGGGUCGAUAUUGACGCUCAUGUACGAAAGCGUGGGGAGCAAACAGGAUUAGAUACCCUAGUAGUCC